rnacentral:lncRNA from 1 species
UAGGAGGGCUGAGCUUGGCCAGCUCAGAACUACCUUAGCUGCUAGAGGAGACCUCUGAGGAAGACUGAGGAAAGAGUACGCUGUGAACCGCCGCUGGUGUGUGUACUCAGGCUACUCUCAACUCAGGUCUCCAGAUCCUGUGAAGAGGAAGCAGAGCUCAGUUUCUGAAGCUAGGCAGGCCUUCACCUGGAAAUCCUCCUGGCUCAGUCUCCUGCAUAGCUGAAGUGUACCUGAGACACUAUAUGCAGCUUCACUCCUCAGGCCUUGGCUGUCUUUCCAGCCUGUUGGUGCACAUACCCAGAUUCACUGAGGAGGAACCAACCUCAGCAAAUGGGAUUGUUUAUUUCACAGUGGUGAAGGGCGGACGCAAUGGGCAUGACAGCUCACACUCUUGGUUGUCAGCUUAGUGACAUGCAAGGUUAACUAAACCCAAGCAGCUGAGCACACCUGUGAGGAAUUCUCUUCAUCCAAUCCAGGAAGACCUGGCUUUGUGCCUGGAGCAUCCCUCAUGCGACUGCAUGGUGGGGGUGGGGUGGGGGUGGGGUCAGUAAAGGGCUUGGAGGUGAAGCACUCUGGAGACAGUUUCAGGGAUUGGCUUCUGCUGUAUUGCACAUGAGCAGCUGUUUAUCUUGUGGAAGCCUAUCGGCUGUGAUUGGUUAGCACAUUACCUCAGAUUGGACUCAUAUUGCCUGGGUCUCUGUGCAGAAGAAGCACACAAACAGACUUGGAGAAUGCAGAUGCAUCAGCAGGCCAGCUACCACCUACGGAUGCUACUUCAGCAUUCCGUGUUCUGACUCUCGGAAUACCCAGGAGCAUGGUGUGCCAGGUGUCUCUCUUAGAAGCAGUGUGCUCGUAGUCCGACUGCCAGGUCAGGCGUGCAUUUUUUCCUACAGAGACCCACCCUAAAUCUGCAUCUUUUGAAGUGGGAGUAUCUACCUUAAAUCUGGACCACACCUUCUGGUGGCAAACUCCAUAAAGGACAUGGAAGAAGGACGCUUUCGCUCUUUGCCUGCUUGCCUUGCUCUUCCCUCAUUGCUCUUUCAGCCUACGUAUACUGAAGACCAGCGGAGACAUCCAGGCUCGAGGACUGAACAAGUACUGGGUUCUUGGACUUUACUUUGGAGACAGCCAUUGUCAAACUAGCUGAACCACAGCCU